AUUGAACGCUGGCGGCAUGCCUUACACAUGCAAGUCGAACGGUAACAGGUCUUCGGAUGCUGACGAGUGGCGAACGGGUGAGUAAUACAUCGGAACGUGCCUAGUAGUGGGGGAUAACUACUCGAAAGAGUGGCUAAUACCGCAUGAGAUCUACGGAUGAAAGCAGGGGAUCGCAAGAACUUGUGCUACUAGAGCGGCCGAUGGCAGAUUAGGUAGUUGGUGGGAUAAAAGCUUACGAAGCCGACGAUCUGUAGCUGGUCUGAGAGGACGAUCAGCCACACUGGGACUGAGACACGGCCCAGACUCCUACGGGAGGCAGCAGUGGGGAAUUUUGGACAAUGGGCGCAAGCCUGAUCCAGCAAUGCCGCGUGCAGGAUGAAGGCCUUCGGGUUGUAAACUGCUUUUGUACGGAACGAAAAGCCCUGGGUUAAUACCCUGGGGUCAUGACGGUACCGUAAGAAUAAGCACCGGCUAACUACGUGCCAGCCGCCGCCGUAA
rnacentral:rRNA from 1 species